rnacentral:tRNA from 2 species
GUCUGAUUAGCAUAAAAGUAAUGUAGCUGUUUUGUAACCAGCUGAAGCAAGUGCGAUACUUGCAUUGGACU